rnacentral:lncRNA from 1 species
GCGCCCCCCUCUUUCCUUCCCCUCCUCUCCCCCUUCCUUCCCCUCCUAGUAGGAGUAUGAAAGGAGGAGUCCUACUCCUACUAGGAGGAGGACCCCUCCUCCUGGCGCGCUCAACAAGGGCCGGCCGGCCUCCCCCCUCCCUUCUUUAUAUACGGGGGCAGGGGGCACCCCAUAGACACACAAGUUGAUCUACGGAUCGUUCCUUAGCCAUGUGCGGUGCCCCCUUCCACCAUAUUCCACCUCGGUCAUAUCGUCGCGGAGUUUAGGCGAAGCCCUGCGUCGGUAGAGCAUCAUCAUCGUCACCACGCCGUCGUGCUGACGGAACUCAUCCCCGAAGCUUUGCUAUAUCGGAGCCCGGGGAUCGUCAUCGAGAUGAACGUGUGCUGAACUCAGAGGUGCCGUACGUUCGGUACUUGGAUCGAUCGGAUCGUGAAGACGUACGACUACAUCAACCGCGUUGUCAUAACGCUUCCGCUUACGGUCUAUGAGGGUACGUGGACAAUACUCUCCCCUCUCGUUGCUAUGCCAUCAACAUGAUCUUGCGUGUACGUAGGAAAUUUUUUGAAAUUACUAUGUUCCCCAAUAGUGGCAUCCGAUCCUAGGUUUUAUGCGUUGAUGUUAUAUGCACGAGUAGAACACAAGUGAGUUGUGGGCGAUAUAAGUCAUACUGCUUACCAGCAUGUCAUACUUUGGUUCAGCGGCAUUGUGAGAUGAAGCAGCCCGGACCGACAUUACGCGUACGCUUACGCGAGACUGGUUUCACCGCUACGAGCACUCGUUGCUUAAAGGUGACCGGCGGGUGUAUAUCUCUCUCACUUUAGUUGAACUGAGUGUGGCGACGCCCGGUCCUUGCGAAGGUUAAAACAGCACCAACUUGACAAACUGUCGUUGUGGUUUUGAUGCGUAGGUAAGAACGGUUCUUGCUAAGCCCGUAGUAGCCACGUAAAAAUUGCAACAACAAAGUAGAGGACGUAAAAAUUGCAUGUUGUGAUGUGAUAUGGUCAAGACGUGAUGCUAUAUUUUAUUGUAUGAGAUGAUCAUGAUUUGUAACCGAAGUUAUCGGCAACUGGCAGGAGCCAUAUGGUUGUCGCUUUAUUGUAUGAAAUGCAAACGCCCUGUAAUUGCUUUACUUUAUCACUAAGCGGUAGCGAUAGUCGUAGAAGCAAUAGAUGGCGUAACGACAACGAUGCUGUGAUGGAGAUCAAGGUGUCGCGCCGAUGACGAUGGUGAUCACGACGGUGCUUCGAAGAUGGAGAUCACAAGCACAAGAUGAUGAUGGCCAUAUCAUAUCACUUAUAUUGAUUGCAUGUGAUGUUUAUCCUCUAUGCAUCUUAUCUUGCUUUGAUUGACGGUAGCAUUUUAAGAUGAUCUCUCACUUAAUAAUCAAGAAGUGUUUUGCCUGAGUAUGCACCGUUGCAAAAGUUCUUCAUGCUGAGACACCACGUGAUGAUCGGGUGUGAUAGGCUCUACGUUCAAAUACAACGGGUGCAAAACAGUUGCACACGCGGAAUACUCAGGUCAUACUUGACGAGCCUAGCAUAUACAGAUAUGGCCUCGGAACACUGAGACCGAAAGGUCGAACGUGAAUCAUAUAGUAGAUAUGAUCAACAUAGUGAUGUUCACCAUUGAAACUACUCCCUCUCACGUGAUGAUCGGACAUGGUUUAGUUGAUUUGGAUCACGUGAUCACUUAUAUGACUAGAGAGAUGUCUGUCUAAGUGGGAGUUCUUAAGUAAUAUGAUUAAUUGAACUUAAAUUUAUCAUGAACUUAGUACCUGAUAGUAUUUUGCUUGUCUAUGUUUGUUUGUAGAUAGAUGGCUCAUGCUGUUGUUCCGUUAAAUUUUAAUGCGUUCCUUGAGAAAGCAAAGUUGAAAGAUGAUGGUAGCAAUUACACGGACUGGGUCCGUAACCUGAGGAUUAUCCUCAUUGCUACACAGAAAAGUUACGUCCUGGAUGCACCGCUGGGUGCCAGGCCUGCUGCUGAUGCAACUGACGACGUUAAGAACGUCUGGCAGAGCAAAGCUGAUGACUACUUGAUAGUUCAGUGUGCCAUGCUUUACGGCUUAGAACCAGGUCUUCAACGACGUUUUGAACGUCAUGGAGCAUAUGAGAUGUUUCAGGAGUUGAAGUUAAUAUUUCAAGCAAAUGCCCGGUUUGAGAGAUAUGAAGUCUCCAAUAAGUUCUAUAGUUGCAAGAUGGAGGAGAAUAGUUCUGUCAGUGAACACAUACUCAAAAUGUCUGGGUAUAAUAAUCACUUGAUUCAACUGGGAGUUAAUCUUCCUGAUGAUAGUGUCAUUGAUAGAAUUCUCCAAUCACUGCCACCAAGCUACAAGAGCUUCGUGAUGAACUAUAAUAUGCAAGGGAUGAACAAGACUAUUCCCGAGCUCUUCGCAAUGCUAAAAGUUGCGGAGGUAGAAAUCAAAAAGGAGCAUCAAGUGUUGAUGGUUAACAAGACCACCAGUUUCAAGAAAAAGGGCAAAGGGAAGAAGAAGGGGAACUUUAAAAAGAACAGCAAGCAAGUUGCUGCUCAAGAGAAGAAACCCAAGUCUGGACCUAAGCCUGAAACUGAGUGCUUCUACUGCAAGCAGACUGGACACUGGAAGCGAAACUGCCCCAAGUAUUUGGCGGAUAAGAAGGAUGGCAAAGUGAACAAAGGUAUAUGUGAUAUACAUGUUAUUGAUGUGUACCUUACUAAUGCUCGCAGUAGCACCUGGGUAUUUGAUACUGGUUCUGUUGCUAAUAUUUGCAACUCGAAACAGGGACUACGAAUUAAGCGAAGAUUGGCUAAGGACGAGGUGACAAUGCGUGUGGGAAAUGGUCCCAAAGUCGAUGUGAUCGCAGUCGGCACGCUACCUCUACAUCUACCAUCGGGAUUAGUUUUAGACCUAAAUAAUUGUUAUUUGGUGCCAGCGUUGAGCAUGAACAUUAUAUCUGGAUCUUGUUUGAUGCGAGACGGUUAUUCAUUUAAAUCAGAGAAUAAUGGUUGUUCUAUUUAUAUCAGUAAUAUCUUUUAUGGUCAUGCACCCUUGAAGAGUGGUCUAUUUUUAUUGAAUCUCGAUAGUAGUGAUACACAUAUUCAUAGUGUUGAAACCAAAAGAUGCAGAAUUGAUAACGAUAGUGCAACUUAUUUGUGGCACUGCUGUUUAGGUCAUAUCGGUGUAAAGCGCAUGAAGAAACUCCAUACUGAUGGGCUUUUGGAAUCACUUGAUUAUGAAUCACUUGGUACUUGCGAACCGUGCCUCAUGGGCAAGAUGACUAAAACGCCGUUCUCCGGAACUAUGGAGCGAGCAACUGAUUUGUUGGAGAUCAUACAUACUGAUGUUUGUGGUCCAAUGAAUGUUGAGGCUCGCGGCGGGUAUCAUUAUUUUCUCACCUUCAUAGAUGAUUUGAGCAGAUAUGGGUAUAUCUACUUAAUGAAACAUAAGUCUGAAACAUUUGAAAAGUUCAAAGAAUUUCAGAGUGAAGUGGAAAAUCAUCGUAACAAGAAAAUAAAGUUUCUACGAUCUGAUCAUGGAGGAGAAUAUUUGAGUUACGAGUUUGGUCUACACUUGAAACAAUGCGGAAUAGUUUCGCAACUCACGCCACCCGGAACACCACAACAAAAUGGUGUGUCUGAACGUCGUAAUCGUACUUUACUAGAUAUGGUGCGAUCCAUGAUGUCUCUUACUGAUUUACCACUAUCGUUUUGGGGUUAUGCUUUAGAGACGGCCGCAUUCACGUUAAAUAGGGUACCAUCUAAAUCCGUUGAGACGACGCCUUAUGAACUGUGGUUUGGCAAGAAACCAAAGUUGUCGUUUCUUAAAGUUUGGGGCUGCGAUGCUUAUGUGAAGAAACUUCAACCAGAUAAGCUCGAACCCAAAUCGGAGAAAUGUGUCUUCAUAGGAUACCCAAAAGAGACUAUUGGGUACACCUUCUAUCACAGAUCUGAGGGCAAGAUUUUCGUUGCUAAAAUCGGAUCCUUUCUAGAGAAGGAGUUUCUCUCAAAAGAAGUGAGUGGGAGGAAAGUAGAACUUGAUGAGAUAAUUGUAUCUACUCCCUUGUUGGAAAGUAGUUCAUCACAAGAACCGGUUCCUGUGACAACUACACCAACUAGUGAGGAAGCUAAUGAUAUUGAUCAUGAAACUUCAGAUCAAGUUUCUACUGAACCUCGUAGGUUUACCAGAGUAAGAUCCGCACCAGAGUGGUACGGUAAUCCUAUUCUGGAAGUCAUGUUACUUGACCAUGAUGAACCUACGAACUAUGAGGAAGCGAUGAUGAGCUCAGAUUCCGCAAAAUGGCUAGAGGCCAUGAAAUCUGAGAUGGGAUCCAUGUAUGAAAACAAAGUAUGGACUUUGGUUGACUUGCCCGAUGAUCGGCAAGCCAUUGAGAAUAAAUGGAUCUUUAAGAAGAAGACUGACGUUGAUGGUAAUGUAACUGUCUAUAAAGCUUGACUUGUUGCGAAAGGUUUUCGACAAGUUCAAGGGGUUGACUACGAUGAGACUUUCUCACCCGUAGUGAUGCUUAAGUCUGUGUGAAUCAUGUUAGCUAUUGCUGCAUUUCAUGAUUAUGAAAUUUGGCAAAUGGAUGUCAAAACUGCAUUCUUGAAUGGAUUUCUGGAAGAAGAGUUGUAUAUGAUGCAACCAGAAGGUUUUGUUGAUCCAAAAGGUGCUAACAAAGUGUGCAAGCUCCAGCGAUCCAUUUAUGGACUGGUGCAAGCAUCUCAGAGUUGGAAUAAAAGUUUUGAUAGUGUGAUCAAAGCAUAUGGUUUUAUACAGACUUUUGGAGAAGCCUGUAUUUACAAGAAAGUGAGUGGGAGCUCUGUAGCAUUUCUGAUUUUAUAUGUAGAUGACAUAUUAUUAAUUGGAAAUGAUAUAGAAUUUCUGGAUAGCAUAAAGGGAUACUUGAAUAAAAGUUUUUCAAUGAAAGACCUCGGUGAAGCUGCUUACAUAUUGGGCAUCAAGAUCUAUAGAGAUAGAUCAAGACGCUUAAUAGGACUUUCACAAAGCACAUACCUUGACAAAAUUUUGAAAAAGUUCAAAAUGGAUCAGGCAAAGAAAGGUUUCUUGCCUGUGCUACAAGGUGUGAAGUUGAGUCAAACUCAAUGCCCGACCACAGUAGAAGAUAGAGAGAAAAUGAAACCUAUGCUUCAGCCAUAGGCUCUAUCAUGUAUGCAAUGUUGUGUACCAGACCUGACGUAUGCUUAGCAAUAAGCUUGGCAGGAAGGUACCAAAGUAAUCCAGGAGUGGAUCACUGGACAGUGGUCAAGAACAUCCUGAAAUACCUGAAAAGGACUAAGGAUAUGUUUCUCGUAUAUGGAGGUGACAAAGAGCUAGUCGUAAAUGGUUACGUUGAUGCAAGCUUUGACACUGAUCCGGACGAUUCUAAAUCGCAAACCGGAUACGUGUUUUUAUUAAACGGUGGAGCUGUAAGUUGGUGCAGUUCUAAACAAAGCGUCGUGGCGGGAUCUACAUGUGAAGCGGAGUACAUAGCUGCUUCUGAAGCAGCAAAUGAAGGAGUCUGGAUGAAGGAGUUCAUUACCGAUCUAGCUGUCAUACCUAGUGCAUCGGGACCAAUGAAGAUCCUGUGACAAUACUGGUGCAAUUGCUUUGGCAAAGGAAUCCAGAUUUCACAAGAGGACCAAGCACAUCAAGAGACGCUUCAAUUCCAUUCGGGACCAAGUCAAGUGGGAGACAUAGAUAUUUGCAAAAUACAUACGGAUCUAAAUGUUGCAGACCCGUUGACUAAGCCUCUCUCACGAGCAAAACAUGAUCAACACCAAGACUCCAUGGAUGUUAGAAUCAUUACUAUGUAAUCUAGAUUAUUGACUCUAGUGCAACUGGGAGACUGAAGGAAAUAUGCCCUAGAGGCAAUAAUAAAGUUAUUAUUUAUUUCCUCAUAUCAUGAUAAAUGUUUAUUAUUCAUGCUAGAAAUGUAUUAACCGGAAACAUGAUACAUGUGUGAAUACAUAGACAAACAUAUAGUCACUAGUAUGCCUCUACUUGACUAGCUCAUUAAUCAAAGAUGGUUAUGUUUCCUAACCAUAGACAUGUGUUGUCAUUUGAUUAAUGGGAUCACAUCAUUAGAAGAAUGAUGUGAUUGACAUGACCCAUUUUGUUAGCCUAGCACAUGAUCGUUUAGAAUGCUGCUAUUGCUUUCUUCAUGACUUAUACAUGUUCCUGUAACUAUGAGAAAUAUGCAACUCCCGUUUACCGGAGGAACACUUUGGGUACUACCAAACGUCACAACGUAACUGGGUGAUUAUAAAGGAGUACUACAGGUGUCUCCAAAGGUACAUGUUGAGUUGGCGUAUUUCGAGAUUAGGUUUUGUCACUCCGAUUGUCGGAGAGGUAUCUCUGGGCCCUCUCGGUAAUGCACAUCAUUAUAAGCCUUGCAAGCAAUGUGACCAAAUGAGUUGGUUACGGGAUGAUGCAUUACGAAACGAGUAAAGAGACUUACUGGUAACGAGAUUGAACUGGGUAUUGAAUAUCGACGAUCAAAUCUCGGGCAAGUAACAUACCGAUGACAAAGGGAACAACGUAUGUUGUUAUGCGGUUUGACCGAUAAAGAUCUUCGUAGAAUAUGUAGGAACCACUAUGGGCAUCCAGGUCCCGCUAUUGGUUAUUGACCGAGAAUGGUUCUAGGUCAUGUCUACAUAGUUCUUGAACCCGUAGGGUCCGCACGCUUAACGUUACGAUGACAGUUUUAUUAUGAGUUUAUAAGUUUUGAUGUACCGAAGUUUGUUCGGAGUCUCGGAUGUGAUCACGGACAUGACGAGGAGUCUCGAAAUGGUCGAGACAUAAAGAUUGAUAUAUUGGACGACUAUAUUCGGACAACAGAAGUGUUCCGGGUGAUUUCGGAGAAAANNNNNNNNNNNNNNNNNNNNNNNNNNNNNNNNNNNNNNNNNNNNNNNNNNNNNNNNNNNNNNNNNNNNNNNNNNNNNNNNNNNNNNNNNNNNNNNNNNNNNNNNNNNNNNNNNNNNNNNNNNNNNNNNNNNNNNNNNNNNNNNNNNNNNNNNNNNNNNNNNNNNNNNNNNNNNNNNNNNNNNNNNNNNNNNNNNNNNNNNNNNNNNNNNNNNNNNNNNNNNNNNNNNNNNNNNNNNNNNNNNNNNNNNNNNNNNNNNNNNNNNNNNNNNNNNNNNNNNNNNNNNNNNNNNNNNNNNNNNNNNNNNNNNNNNNNNNNNNNNNNNNNNNNNNNNNNNNNGAGUCCUACUCCUACUAGGAGGAGGACUCCUCCUCCUGGCGCGCCCAACAAGGGCCGGCCGGCCUCCCCCCUCCCUCCUUUAUAUACGGGGGCAGGGGGCACCCCAUAGACACACAAGUUGAUCUACGGAUCGUUCCUUAGCCGUGUGUGGUGCCCCCUUCCACCAUAUUCCACCUCGGUCAUAUCGUCGCGGAGUUUAGGCGAAGCCCUGCGCCGGUAGAGCAUCAUCAUCGUCACCACGCCGUCGUGCUGACGGAGCUCAUCCCCGAAGCUUUGCUAGAUCGGAGCCCGGGGAUCGUCAUCGAGCUGAACGUGUGCUGAACUCGGAGGUGCCGUACGUUCGGUACUUGGAUCGGUCGGAUCGUGAAGACGUACGACUACAUCAACCGCGUUGUCAUAAUGCUCCGCUUAUGGUCUACGAGGGUACGUGGACAAUACUCUCCCCUCCCGUUGCUAUGCCAUCACCAUGAUCUUGCGUGUACGUAGGAAAUUUUUUGAAAUUACUACAUUCCCCAACAAUUAGCUACCGAAGCGAAGAAAAGGCUGGAUCAAGAAAAGGGGGGUACUACGAGCCCUUUGCCCCACGCAUCUAACCAACUCGCGUGGUUCACCGGUUCCACCGACGUCACCCUUAGAUAGAGUUAUUUAGUCGAUACAGAGAUGCGCUUAAAGCGGGGGGUGUGCUGUCCCUAUUGGGCUGGGCCCUUCCCCAUAAGGCCCCACCGUCGGGGCAUAAGCGCCCUCUUGCUACCCAUAUGCAAGGCGCCGUCUUAGCCUUGCCUUCCCAGGAUUGCUCCCACACCUGUCACGUUCGUGAUCGGCCUCCUCAACUGUGUAUCGAUCGAAAGGCAGGGCGGCAGAGCCACCAACCAACGGGAGUAGUUACGUCCAGUAUGUCCCCCCUUGAUUUCCGACAUGCUAUGAUACCCCAGGGUGGGUAGGAGCGGGUCGAGUCCGUAUCACCGCGGAACAACUGCAGCGUCCGGAUCUGAUCUAUCUACUCGGAAAUUCAUCCGGUGACUUCACGGUCGCCAAAGAAGCCCCAAGAAGCAUCAAACAUUUCCGAUGAGAUCCAUGGAGCUAUUUUGAGAUAGCAAGCACUAGCUCCCAGUGCGCCUUCAUAAAAAGCAAUCAAAGAUAAGAUCGAAGAAAAUGAAAUGCACGUGGUGGUCAUUAUAGCGGUUCCUUCAGAUCCUAGAAAACGUCCGAAAAAACCGGCUACGGAACUACCGAGCAAAGGCAAAAAGACAAUAAGUAGAUACAUAAGAUCGAGUCUCUUAAAAAAAUCAGACAAUGUUCAAGCGGCCUGUCAUUGAGACAAAAACGUGUUAAGCAUAUAAGCACUUUCAACUUGAUUUGCAGUGGUCAGUUACGCAAGACGGGAAGAGAGUUUCCUUCUUCAGAGUCCUUUUAUCCCAAUAUUAAGGAUAAUGUGUGGGCCUUUACUGAAAGAAGAUGGUUGAUCCCCUUGCCGACUCAUUCCAUCCUCCCCCCGGUGGGUCGUCCUCUUAUUCACUCUCGCGAACAAAGAAGAAGAGAGACAACAUUCAGGCCAGCAAUGGACUGAGGUAUGAGACGAUAAAGGUAAAGAGAAGGGGCCGUCGUUGGUGCAUAACAGAUCUUUCCUAUCUACGAUCUUUCUCCGUGCAUAAGCGAGGCUUCGCGGUCGAAGUACCACAUAAGCAAUAAAGCCAAUAGACCUUGAAUAGCCUGUACGAAAUAACUUGUGAAGAGGAUUUACUAGAGUCUAAAAAUCUUGUACGCAAGUUGGCACAGCGCUUUCAAUCAAUCUCGCUCAUCUGGUCUGCCCGGUCAAAUCAGCGAUCAUGCCCCCCUUAUUCUAGCGGAGGAACAGCUUCAUCAUAUUCAUUCCCUUGCUAAUCCGCCUUCAAGCCUUGUUCCUUCUUCCGCUUCAUCUAUCGUAAAAUUCUAUAUGCCACAAAUAGAAGUAGAAAGAAAUCCUAGCGGUCAUUGAGAUUGAAUCCAGAGGAAAUCGCAAUCCAAUUACCGUGAGAGCGAAUUAACAGAGUCAGUUCAACUAAAUGGUCAAAAUCAGAAUAAAGGAAGGUAACGAAAUACUUCAUUAACAAGGCUCGUUUAAUUAACAAUUUGAGCUUUCUUUGCUCACCAUCUUUUUUCUGCGCCCCUUCACUCACUUCUGAAUGACUCCUUUAGCACUCUCUUUUGGUUGGUUACUUCAUUGAAAUAGAAAGUACAUCUCUAACUCCCGGCUAACGCGAAUCAUUCAAAAACUAAUACUUAUUGGGUUGGGCAACCGACAUGUGAAAUCGAUGUCGGGCUACACUUCCUUCAAUUAAUUGUUUAGGUUUACUUUGGCGGAGCAUUCAAUCUAGGUGUGGGAAUCAUUCCGACUUCAUGUAUUUGCCCUGCCCUAGCCUUUUGGGAAUGUAGGUGUCCGCGAAUGGAAGCUCGGCAACAGAGCAGACCGGAAGAAGUAUGUACCUCAUGAAGCAAGGACUAGCCAGAGCUCUUAGUAUGGCCACUUUUGCAGGAUGAAUCCGUUCACUGCCUGCUUCUCUAUCGCAUUGGACCUAGAAAGAGUGCAAACAGGAAGCAUAGACCCUUGAGAAAUAGAGGAGCUAUGAGUGUUGUCCACAACCUCUAAUGUUCCAAAAGAUAUAAUCCGUCACUCGCUCCAGAGACCUCAGUACCGUGCUAACUCCAAGAAUUUCCUUCUUUACUACAUAAAGCAUCAGCUGCUGGAUAGAAAGCAAAAGCAUUUAUUUAUAGCUGACAGUUAGCUUUCGCUUGAUUUCUUUCUUAUAAAAUUACAUUUUGUUGAUUGUAUAUUGGGUCGGUGUAAAUAAAGGGUGAGCUCCAAACUACAGUGGGAAAGGCCGAGUAUACACCAACCAUACUUUGGAGUGAGAAGGAGAUCCUAACUAACAAAUUUAGGCAUCUGAUACUAUGCUGAAAAGUCCCGUUUGGUCACUUUUCAAAAGAAGGAUGCGCCGCUAUUUUGUCAUCAUCUGGCACUGCUUGACUUGCUUUCACAGCUUUUAGCUUGAACGUGGCACUAAAGCCUCCAUGUCAACUAAAGAAAAUAGUUCAAGACAGUAGAGCACAGAGGGAAUUACCAACAUGGGUUCAGCAUUUCGUUUAGUGAAUGCGGAGAUAAAAGCAGCUGCUAUUGAUGUGCAAUUGGACCACUCGCAUCGCUCCUUGACACGAAGGCCAUAAGAAUCAAAGGAAAUACUGGGCGUAAAUGACUUUGGAGUUCAAACCUGGCAAAGUCCUUACUUACUCGGCUCCAGGCCAAAGCGAUGAAAAGACCCUUUAUUUAAUAUGGUCAUGCCCAUGAGAGAAAGUCUAGCCCGAUCAACACCUUCUGAUCCUAGUUGGCUCAAGUAAGGCAGGCUACUUCUAAGCAAUCUAGAGAACAUUGAACCUCAUUGAAAAGAAAUAACUUCCGGCCAACAUAAAGAUCCAGCAACCUUUUGCCUGACCUCGGCUCUGACACAUUCCUCCUAGCCUAGAUUUUUACUACAUUCUUUGGGAUCAAUGCCUACUUCUUGAACUUGAAAUACCUGUAUCCCUUCUUUGAUAAGUGGAAUGUUUCGCUUGAGCGUCUAAUUUGGCGAAACCCUUGUUAUCUAUGCUAUGUAUUUGUGGCCUAGCCCUCUAUAAGGCACACGUUUUUCAUAUGUGAGGCUAUAGAAGGAAAGCAACAAUCCUGGAGGAGGAAAUAGUUCACUUGUUGGGCACCUAGGCUCCCUAUUCGUAAAUUCACUUACAUGACGAGCAAUUAACAAGGCGCGCUGCGUUUGAAUGACAUGUUAUUUGAAUAAUAUUGCUGCUAUGUCGCAAGUCUUAGUCUUCCAAAAUAGGAGACGACUAUGGACAGAGAUACUAGGUAAACGGAGUGCCAGUGAUUGCCUUGGUUGAUAGUGGCAGCACGCACUGUUUUGUAGACCCCAAAGAUUGUGAAGCGGGCUGGUUACGACUCAACUCCGUAUAAACCUAUGGAAAUCAUAGUAGCAAAUGGCGCUAAGAUGUAUUGUGAGCACAAAUGUGAUGGCAUGCUAUGGGUAAUGCAAGGGGAGGAGUUUCAGUUUGACAUGAAAGUCAUGGAGGUAGGUUCGUAUGAGGGGGAGAUUGGAUUUUGUUGCUAUAAGAAGGAAGGGCCAAUUAUUUUAUCAACCAGUGCACCAUCCAUAACAUUGGUCAAGGAAGGCAAGAAAGUAGUUUGAAAGGGAAUUCAGGAUCAGACAAGGAGGUCAAUAGAAAGAGGAAUGGUGCAGUUACAACAAGGAGAGAUUUGUAUGCUCGUGCAGGAUUUUCCAGUGAAUGCCACCAGCAAAGAAACCAGAAUACCUAACAGUAUGAAUAAGUUACUUACCCGAGACUCUGACAUUUUCAAUGAGCCAAAAGAGUUACCACCAGACCCAUGAUCAUGUAAUACCUCUUCUGGAGGGAGCUGAGCCGAUUAAUCUCAGGCCGUAUAGAUACUCGCAUGAUCAAAAGGCAGCCAUUGAAAAGUUGGUCAAUGAAAUGCUAGCAGCUGCUGUGAUUAGGCCAAGCUAAAGCCCUUUGCCCUUUUCAAGUCCUGUACCUGUAGGUAGGAUGGGUGGGAGUUGGCGAUUGUGUAUAGACUACAGGAAACUAAAUAGCCUUACCAUUAAUAAAAAUAUCCCAUUCCUUUCGUGGAUGAACUCUUGGAAGAGGGCAGUCCCAAAUGAAAAAAGCCAUUUAUCAAUCCCAAGAAGCAAGUGAAUUAGUUUUAUUGCUUUUCUUCCUUUAGCUUCUGUUUAUUGCAAGCACAUAUUUUAUAGUAUUAUUUGAGAUGCUGGAGUAAAAGGGAGUCAGAGGUAAGCCCUAGCUAGCCGCCCCCUCUUCCCUAUCAGCUGAGAGUUUGCAUUCGCCAGUGUGCCACCAUUCCUUAUUCAUAUUGUACUUCACUUCUCUAUGCUUCAGGCAUUCCGCUUUCAUCUUGUGAUACCCCAGACCUGUUUCUUUGGAUCCUUAACUUAAAAAGUAAGCACCUCCCCUAACUAAUUAGUUAGUAUCGAGAGACUAAAAAAUCAUUAAAUUUGAGAAACAAAGGUACUCUUGCCGAUGGAAGAAAUUCCAUAAAUGUCCCAUAGAGUAAAAAAGCUGUUUUGAGGAACCAGUAUCAAAAAUUGACCCAUUAGCUACUGCCCUACUUCAUCCAAGGGCUAGGUGUGGGUGUGACUAAAUCCCCUCCUUCCUUACUUAAUAGUUAUUUUAGUCUCCUUGGGCAGCCGACCCCUUCAAUUGGUCAUGCUUUUCUUGUUUCUCUGGAUUCGUUAGGCAUGCGACGGGCGAGCAAUCUCUUGAUACUAUGCCUAGCCGUGGGUUUGCUCUUAUUUUUGACCUUGCUUGAUCACUCACUAAUAGGGAUUGGGCUGAUCCAGGCAUGCAAGCACUUAGGUACCCUUUUCAUCCACUCCUUCAUCCGCUGAUUGUCGCUGUCGAUGCCCAGCUAUUUAGUUUGGAAAGUGUUAAUCUGAGUAGUGAGCCCUGUGGCAUACCUCUGAAGGUACCAAUGCUUGUCGUUGUGUUAAUGGAUCAAAUACGUAGUAGACGUUAUCAGAUGAAAGUACCCGCCUUGGAGGAGUUGGUAUCAAAGAAAGACAGCUCUCAAAUGGAUUUGCUGGUCUAUGAUGACCAAGUAGAAGCAUCCGUUCCACAUAGGUGUUUUUUAUAGAAGCAUAGGCGCAAGCUCUUCUCAAAAGAAUUUCGUUUAUAGGAUUCAGUCGUCCGUUUGUUUUGUUUCGAAUUGACAUAGAGAAAGAUUUCUCGCGUUCCCUUAAUUCUGGAAUAGGUGGCGAACACUACUUGUUCCUUGUAUAUAUAUAUAUAAAGGAAAGGGGUUAUUUUUCCUUUACGGCAAUAAGAGUUGAUUCCCUUGCUUGUAGUUUUGGAUCGAUUCCGUGUAUUUCACAUAUUUAAGAGUGGUUAGGAGAGAGAAUCAAUGUUUAUGGGAAGAGGGAAAGAAAGAUCAGGGGAAGAAGCGGGGUAGAGGAAUUGGUCAACUCAUCAGGCUCAUGACCUGAAGACUGCAGGUUCGAAUCCUGUCCCCGCCUAAUCAUAGUCAAAAUCUGAGUUUGAUCCUGGCUCAGAAGGAACGCUAGCUAUAUGCUUAACACAUGCAAGUCGAACAUUGUUUUCGGGGAGCUGGGCAGAAGGAAAAGAGGCUCCUAGCUAAAGUUGUCUCGCCCUGCUUCAAAACUAUAGGGCGCGCGCUACGGAUUUGACCUAACGGCCUCCGUUUGCUGGAAUCAGAAUAGUUGAGAACAAAGUGGCGAAUGGGUGCAUAACACGUGGGAAUCUGCCGAACAGUUCAGGCCAAAUCCUGAAGAAAGCUCAAAAGCGCUGUUUGAUGAGCCUGCGUAGUAUUAGGUAGUUGGUCAGGUAAAGGCUGACCAAGCCAAUGAUGCUUAGCUGGUCUUUUCGGAUGAUCAGUCACAUUGGGACUGAGACACGGCCCCGACUCCCACGGGGGCAGCAGUGGGGAAUCUAGGACAAUGCAUUUAGAAUUCUAAUAAAACGAAGAGGCUAUCGAACAAAUAGAGGAAAUGGCAGAAAGGGGGAAAGUAAAUUCCUAUUACAUUGGCAUAUGGCACGAAAAGGAAAUCCAAUUUCAGUAAGACUUGAUCUAUCGUCAGAUUAUGGUUUUUAUCAAUGGGGGGGGGGCUUUUCUUAGCUAUCAUUGUGAUCGCCGCUUUAGUAGUAGAUCCCUCCUUGAUCGUGACAGAUUAGGUUAGGCAAGCACUAGUUGAAGUGAUUCUGUCACUUUUACAAUAUGUUUUGCUAUAUGGCGUGACGCUGAUUGAAGAAAUGGUACCGGCCCUCUGGGGGCAGGAGCGAUGUGGGACCGUGGGCACAGGGGGGCUGGAAAGUCCUGCCCGCUCGGAGGAGGGAACCUCCAAGGCGGCAUACAUUUUUCUCACCAAAUCACAAAAUAGCGUCCAAAUCGGGCAAGAGGCCACCGUAGGCCCUCUCCGGGAUCCGGCAGAUGGAGGGAAACCUUCCAAAAGCCAGUCUUGUUCACUAGCGGAAACAGAUGCAAGGCGGGGCCAAGCUUUUGGGGUGAACUUGUGUGAUUUGGAAACCCUCAAAAGGGAAAAUACCUAUGAAGAGGUACGACGGAAGUAUCCAUCAUCCGACGAUGAUGCUCGAAAGGCGGUUAUCGAACUUUUUGAUAAAAAUGAGCUUUUCGGUGCUAAGUUGCUCACACACUUUAAGCAAAGCGCCCCUAUGAGAGCUUUGGGGCCAGAUGCCUACCACCGUGAUUUACCAAAAAGGAUAAACCAAAUCAUGAGAUGCGAGGGAAAGGACCGCGCAUCACUUAGAGACCUUAUUGAUCUGAAAUUUAAUUUGGAGGAUCCUCAAAGAAUGAAGGAGAUUCUAACUCGAUAUUUCGAUAAGCAUAAAAGAUAACCUAUUUGUUGUUCUGGUCGAUUAGGGGGUGCAGAAAUAGCUAGAACUGAAUGCGGAAAGUCCUUGGGCUGUUGAACAGAAUCCAACCACACUAGAAUGGUUGGUACAAAGCCCUCCGGCCUUUCAUACUUUUGGAGAACUUCCUACGGUAAAAGAGACAAAAAGCUAAAAAAAACCUCUCCUAACUAUGAAGGAACUUUCAUAGAGAUAGGUGUGGGGAAAUAAGUUCUUCAUUUGAAGAGUUAGUUGGCUGGCCUACCGGCCCGCAGAUUAGGAAGGCUUUUAUCGCCAACUGAACUGUGUAACCAAAGCGAUUCCUUCUUGGUGGAGAUAGGUGGGUCCUGGUCCAACCUAUGUCAGUUCGAACCUGAGGAGUCGUUCGUUCGUGUGGAGAAUCUCUCUCCUUUUCUUCUAAGUCUUGCUUCAUUAAGUUACUUGCUCUCUCAGCCUCAUAAUAAUAAUCAAUAUUCAAAUACUUUAUGCUAAAUUCUGUAUAGCAAUCAAUGUUUGAGGGCAUAGAGAACCUUAAGAGGAUAGUAAAGUCUAUUUAUUUGAGACCAGUGAGGUCAGAAAUUCAAGCAUUCGGGUCAAGACUAUAAGGCGCUAUCAGGCCAUACCUCAAAAGGCUCGCUACCUUCUCUAGAUACUUGAUUGGAAGAGAGGGUAGAUGUAAGAGAGUUAAAGCACUUCGCUCGAAGAAGGGUAUAAUGGAAAGUCAAUCAAUAUUUCAUCCAGAACUAAAUAGGUCAUUUACGACUCAAUAGUUUAUCAAUCAAAUACAUCAGCAUUCCAAAAUACUACCCGCUAACGCCCUCACUCUUUGACUUAGAGGUCUUAGCCCCACCUUUACUUAUAUCUUAGACUUAUACUCUUCCUUACUUCCCUUCUCUGGCCAUGUGGUUGAGGAUAUUUGAAAAAAAGAAGAAAUUGACAAUACCUACUAUCGAUGCCUAAGAGUAGGUCUUUACCAGCUUGCCUAAUAAGACUAGUUUAAUACCGGCUUACUUGUACAAGCUUAUACUAUAAGAGUGAGUACGCUACCUUCUUGAUUAUUAUCAUCAGAAAGAUAUUUUGAAACCAUCCUGGUGUCAUUUACUUUCAUAAAGCAAAUCUUAGUAAAUAAAUGUGGGUGAUCCUACUUAGAAUAAGACUUAUAUUGUGGUGUGAGGUACUAAUAUAACUCCACUUUAUGCGUAUAGGAAGGCGGCUGCUUAGAAUGCUAAACAGGCCUACUAGAUGGCUUAUGCUAGAACAAGUCAAGCUCAACAAUGCUUAAGCCCAAGGAAUGGAUGCGUUAAAGACUGGAAAUAUAGAGUUUAUCUCAACCUAACCUAUGCAAGCACUUAUCCCCUUGCCUUGGAUUAGGCACUACAACUAUAUGUGACUUAGAAUCUGACCAGUAACUAUACCUUAUGAAAAGUAAGCACUAGCUAUAGUCAGAACUAUAUAGUCCCGAGUAAGUGGCGCGAAGCGGAUUGCAAUAAAGCAAUAGAGAGUUAGCUACAUAUAUUGAAGUUGAAUCUAUGCUCUUUGCAAGGCAAAAAGCUAUUCAAGAUAGUAAGUACUCGGUGGUAUACUCCUGUAGCUCCUUGAUUCCUAACGCAAGUUAGAGCCUUAUGAAAGAGGGAAGACUGCUUAUUAAUAGGCAACUUUUCUUUAGACAUAAAAAAAGACUGCUAUUUGAGGGAAUGCAGCAUGGGCCCUAUAACUUGCUUUUCUAUUUCCAACCAAAGCUAGAAGAGCAGCGCGUCUAUCCUGAGUUUUCGUGUCUAGCUUGCUUGCUCACUUCCUAUAACGGCAAUCAAAGAAAAUCUUGUUCUGAUCCUAUAACUUAACUAAACUUAACUAAGUAGUAAAGAGAAGAUUAGGAUGAGUAAGCCCUGACUUCAAGUCUAUGUAUAGCAACUAGCUAUAUUACUACUUAUUAGUCAUACUUUAUCUCGAUGGACCUAUUGCCGCCUAUUUAGAAUAAUAAUAAAGUCUUCUAUAGUUACUGGCAUAUUACUCCCAUCAGUGAGAAUUGUAUACGUAGGAGAGAACCUUGCGCAAAAAGGGCUUUUCUUUAUGGUAUAGAUUAGGAAUUGGAACAAGUAAGGCUAACUAAAAGAGAGAAGAGGGUCUACAGUCAUUCUAUCUCAACACUGAAGAAUAAGACGUCUAUCCUUACUCUUGCAUUAAAUAGAAUAAUAUUAAAGGGAGGGGAGUAUAUCGAAUAUAAGGCUGCCCUCAGGCAAACCCAAAAUAAGGUUGAUGAAAGCGAAGCAGAAUUUAAAAAAAAUAAGGUACACUCUUGAUCCUUACAGCACAUCUUUACUAUGACUAAAAAGUGCCGGAAGGAGAAAGUCAAAGAAGGACUCGAAACUUGCAGAUAAUGAAUAUAAAGAUGAAAUAUUGAAUGCUUUAUUAGAGAUAGAUUUUGACUUGGGCUUGAACAAAGCCAUUCUUCGCCUUUCUUCGCUAGUUCGCUUAAGUACAUAGGUUAUGGCAAUACAACAUUCUAUCUUUUGCUUAGGCUUGAAACACUUAUUUUCUUAUUAUCUUUUUUAUUUUCUUUCACCCUAGGCAAUCUCUUUGCUUGCUGACAUAAACUUUCAACAUAGAUCAAGUUGUUUUUAGGAGUUUUACCUCUUCUUACUUCUUGACAUCAGAAAGACAAGCGCUUACCUCCUUCCUAGCAACCUACAUAUCUGUCUGCUCAAAGCACAUUCAGAGUAUAGUUGACUAUUCCUCCUUUACGUAUCUCAGCCAAAGCCUACUUUAUUCUCUGCAAGCUAGGUAGUUAAGGAAUUAAGUAACUAAUUUAGACUGAUUGGUGGCAGGCUCCGAAGAAAGCUUAUGGAUUCAACACUUUGCUAUAAGAAAGAAGCAAGGUUGUCCGACAAAACUAGAGUUUUAAGUAAGCAAGAUAUUGAUUGCGUGGUAGGAAACAAAGGAAACUACCAAGCGAGGGAUUGUUUGCAUAUUAUAUACUUAUUAACUUCCUGUCAGUAAAGUACUAGUUUUUUAGUUAGUAGUGUGCAAUACUGUUUAAGAAAUGCAUGCAAUCUGAGACUUCAGAAAACGUAUACUUGAGUCAAACUACACUAGAAUAGUCAGUGAAAAACUACACUGAAUUAGAAAGGUCUUUUCCUUGAAAGAAUAGGUUUUUUGCAUCAAGAGGCUGUGAGGAAAUAACAUAGUUAAUGAGGAGGGGGUAUGCAUCUUAUCAUCUUCUAUUCAAGAAUAAGAAACGAUCGAGAAAGGCUGCACAUGAAUCUUACUCUAGAAAUGCCUGUGGAAUGUCCAUCAUCGAGAAGAAGUCGAUUCACUGAAGCAUAAAAGAGAAGGAAGAAGAGAUCUUAUUAGUUUAGUUAACCCUUUGGCCAGACCUUAGCAUCUUAAGAAUGCGCUCUUCUCAAGCGAAUCCAAAUAGGUGUUGGUUUGCGCAAAGGAAGCUGAAGCCAAUAGACCAAUGGAACUAAUCAAUCACUUGCUUUCCCGAACUGGACAGCAGGAUUUUAUCAGCCCUGGACUGGAAUCGCGUCGAUGACUCUAAUCUUUAGAGACAGAAGCAGAUGGGAGAAGGUUGGAUAUGGAUCAUGAUCAAGUCUACCUCGUAAGCCACUUAAAGAUCUUUGAGCAGCUCGAGAGAGAAAUCCGUCUUCAUUGGUACAAAAUAACCUUCGCCCCCCUUUUCUCUUAUGGGAUGGUGGUUCCUGUCUAUCAACUAAGGUUAUAAAUUGAUUCUAUAAGAAUCUAGUAGAUCACGCACCUAUUGUAUUUAGUGUGAUCUUGUGGGAGAGUAAGGAAUCACACCCUUAGCGUGAGGGGAAUAGCCGGUUUCCUUUCCUUAACUAGACUACCUUACGGUAGCUCGACUGGGCACGUCAACGUAUGUAUUCUAUCUUCCCAAUCAAACAUUAGUCAUUGCAUCUAUUUCAUCUGGUCUACUAGAGUAGAGAGAUCUCUCACUUCACUGCACAUCGCACUAACUAAUAGCUAGCCGCCUCACGGAUCACCUUAUUAUGUGCAGCUAAAGCGGGGUGUGUGCAUUGUUCAACUAGAGCCAAGGAGGACAAAAGAAUAAGGAACAAUAGGUUCGCUACCCGAUUUCAAUAGUUUCCUUGAUUUGAAAUCAAUCCAAUAUCCUUUCGAGAAUCUAGAGUGAUAUCAACAACCUCCUAGUUGAAGUACAGACAGGGAAGCAGCCUAUUAGUUUCAGUCCAGUCCAGGAAAGGAAGGCAAUCGAUUCAAUUCAUUCCCCAAUUUCAGGCUUGGUGCUGCGCAUUAUUAAGAAUAUCAUAUAGCAAGAUGGACUAGCUCGAGACCUUGGCUUCAACCAAUCAAUUGAAUCUUGGACACAUUUAAUUCUUAGAUAUUGCUUAAGGGAUCACCACAUAUAUUUCUUAGAUUAUCAUGUCUGUCUCGUCUUGCUAUUUCCAUCGACCAACCAUGAGAGUGUUAAUCAACUCCGCCUGGAGGAAGUGUCAAAGGCGUCUGUCUAUCAGUUAUCGAUAGAUCGAACAAACCUAAAGGAUCUGGUGGUUGUGUAAUUGUAAGAUUACUGAUCAUGGGAUACGGAUCUAGUUCCUGGCUCUGCCUACGCAGAGCUGAGUCGGAUAGUCUUGAAGAGAUGUCUUGGAAUGUUUGAUGGCCGUGAAAGUAAGAAUUCUUUUAUUUAGCCAUAAUUCGCCUACUUUACUUUAGAGGACUAGCUCUUCCUAUUGGACUCGUGGGAUUGGAGAUAGCACAACCUCAGGUUCACUAUCUUCUUUAGAGUGGGACAGAUAGACUAGAAUGGGCUGGUUUUUCAAAAGACUUGAACACCCAUCCGAUAUAGACUCAUCGAAGGCAAUGCGAUAGGUCGUAGCCUGGGAGAUAGGGGUUGAGCAACCAAGUGAACAAGGGCUCGUACUGUCGGAGGGUCCACAGGUUCCAUUCUUGAUCUGAUUUCUCGCUAUCUUAUUCGGUGUACAAAACGAAAUACGACUCCUAUUCUUGCCCGAUGUAGGUAGCCACGCCCACUCUAAUUCCAUCCAAUGUAUACCACACUUUGGUAGAAGUUAAGCGCUUAAGCAGCUCCAGAAGCUGCAGAGAGGUGAAAGCUGGAAAGCCAAUAGCCAGAAUUCUUUUGGCAAUAGUGGAAUAGCCAGCUAAUACUGGUGCAAGCUCGGGUAUCGAGCAACACUACCUAGUAACCAUACCAUACCAUACAUCUACUAAACAGAGGAUGACAUAGCCAAUAAAGGAUUGGUAAUUCCCGUUAGAAGAAGAAUCAGAGGAAUCGAAGCAAUCAUAAAAGCAGGAAAUUGCAAUGCCUUCUCCACCCCGUGUUGAUAAAACAAUUGUAUUUAGCGCGCCUCAAGCCUCCUUCCUCGGGGUAGGUCCCGCGUAUGACCCAACCCAUCUCCCCGAAGGCAGGCAGGUUCGGAAAUAGCUUGCGCAGAAGCAAGAACCCCUGGUCCAUAUCUAAAAAAAAUAUGUAGUUUUUGUAAGCGAGCUGAGGAAUAAAAGUAAGAAAGAUCCGCAAGAGAAGAAAGGACCUGGGACAGAAGAAAGAACCGAACCCUAUAGUUGUACAGAAUUCCGUUUGUCCGCUUUCCAUUUCGACCACUCGCUCCUAUGUAUGAAGAAUGGCUCUUCCUUGUCUUCAUCUUUUCCAAUCGACUGCCUUCGGGCGGAUCCACAAACGGAUAUCGAGUCAGUCUAGUGGCUCAUGCUACUUAAUAGUGGAGGCGGGUAACAACUACUCUUUCUUCUUGAUCGAGUAGCCACCGCAUAAAUUGGUAAGCUUCCCACGCUAAAGCUAGUCUUCCUUGCUUUCCCAACAAACAAUAAGACCCAUAGCAUGUGCACCAGGAUGGUCUUUCUAUCCCUAUCUAUUCUCACCGAACUAGACCUCUCAUACCCGGCUACAGGAGAGGUAACUACCUCUGAUUUAUUUUAUUCGUCAUAAAUGAUUUCCGCUGACUCAAGCAUAGCCAAGCCAUUAAGCUAAUAUCUCCCUUGCCAUUAAUUCAACAAGGCUUCCGAGAAAGGCAUGUUACGAACCUAAGAACACCUACCCACCUAUUAACUUUUUGAAUUCUUAGCUUUGGACGUUAAGGAAUGAGUGGAAUGAAUAGACGACGUACUCUCUCUAAUCGGUGCAGCCUGCUGAGUGCCCUUACUCUUGGUCAUAGGCUUCAGAGAGUCUGGAACUACGGCUAUGGGAAAGUUCGCUAUGGAAGGAAAGCAUUUCACUACCUCACAUCUGGUAAGUGUAGCAAGUCCAAAUUCCUCAUCUCAUACGUUUCCCUCCACCUCCUCCACUGGCCUCAUAAGCCUCGUGGUCAGUAGGCAAUGAUCUGACUUUGGCGACAGAAUGUGUUUUACAAUAAGUUCCAACGUUUGAGUAAUUGAACUUGCUUCUUCACUUAAUGCUUGCUUUCCGUCUUGCCUUUGCCGGAGGCAUAGGUUGAGCUUUAGCAAUAGCAGACAGUUAGGGAACCCAAGAAAGGAGGAGCGAGCUAAAGAAGGACUAUUACUACCACCGAACCCAAGGCAAAGCGAAAGAAGGUAAACCGAACCACAGCUACCUAUGAGUUCAGAGUGGCCAAGAGGAUGAGUAGGUUAUUCUAAUGACCAUAGGAAUAAGGAAGACUCGUUCGCUUUAAAAAAGCAAGACCGGCAGAAGUUCCUUCGCUAACCUGUUGGCUUAGUGAAUAGUUCUGCCUUCAUUGAAGAAGAGACCUAUUUUCCACUUUCAAAGUAGAUUCUAGAAAAGCGGCCUUAAUAAACAACUGUUCUUUCCAAGGAAAGAGAGAAAGAAGUCAAAAAGCGGGGGAUCGCUUAAUAAUAAAUUCUAACUAUUGUUCAAAACUCAAAGUACCAAAGAUUCAAUAGAAUGAAAUGGUUAACUAAGAAUGAGAGAGUGAAAAAGCGGAGUAAUAAACAAGGAGUGGCUUGCUAUUUAUGAUGACGAAGAGCUGGUACAAGCCACCUUCAGGAAUGACCCUGCGAUGAAAAAAAUCUACAUCUACAUGAUUCCAAGAUGGUAAAAGAUAUAAAGGAAAAGUUCUAUGGAACGCAUGGUGAACAACCUGUGGGAGCACGGUAAUCCCGACGAGUAGGAUCCAGAGGAACUCGGGCAGAAGUACUACCUCCUUGAUUGGAUCGCACAUGUCAACUAGCUUUUCAGAGACCUAAAAAGACGAAGCCCCUCUCCUCCCUCUGUAACUAGAGAGGUAGGCAAACCUGAGUUUAGAGCCACCUCGAUUCGGGAUGUCGGAACACCAACCGGAUCGGAAACCUCAUCCUAAACUUACUUCGGAAUAGGUUCGAGAGCUUCCAUUUCAACGUGUCUUUCCAAAAAUCUUUGGUAUGCCUUUUCCUGGUCAAAAGGUUUGUUUGGGAAAGCUUCUAAAUCUAGGGUUCAAUGUCUCCGAAAAAACCCCUGGGGCAGGAUAGUAAAGAGCUGAUUCUAGGGAAAGCUAGGAUUUCACUUUUCUCUCCUCCAUUGAGUUGGAGUAGUUAACCUUCUAUAUGCCGUGGAAGAAUACGCAUAAGCAUUAGUUCUUGCCCUUCCAGUGUAAGUGGCAGAUCAAACUUGAUCUAGUUCCACACAUUGCCUUUUCCCUUAUAUGUCGUGGCAGGCGAGCUCCCUUCUGGUAAAAAGGAUUUGAGUGGAAGGUUGAGCGCCCCUUAACGUUUAGAAGUAUCCUUCUCAAUGGUUAGAAACCUUUCUAUUCUAUGACGGCUAAGUCGAGGGCAGACACAACAGGUCACGAAGAGCUAGAGGAUAUAGAAUUCCUAUUUACCGGGAACGGAAGGAAACAUCGGCUCUUCCGAGAUCUUAUGUAAGGAAUACUCAAAAAAGUAGAGCAAAAAGAUCUACAAAACUCUACAAGAAAUGUCUUUCCCGCAGAAGACUCUAACUCCUCAUAGCAUUACGUCAAUCUGCAAAUAUCGAAUGAUGCUUCGACAGAUUCAGUCAUCCAUUCAGCUUUGAAAUCGGAGACAAGGAAAACUUCAUAGAAGCGCCGCGGAUCAAUAUAGAGAUGCGAACCAAUAUCCUUUUCCUGGUGGGCUCUGAAGUACUCGUCUUUUGCGCAAGGCCUCGUGUCAAAAAACUUCCAACCACGUCCUCCUACCUCGCCCAUUUGCGGAGAUCAUCUACAUUUUGCUCCGUGUCGAGCUCCAGCCGGCCCAAACGUUUUCCUUCGGGAGGGCGUAAAAUCGCUUUCUUUUUGUAGGGAGGACGGAUGAUUCAAGUAAGGGCUGAGAGCCUACAUAUCACUGAGAUGGGCCAAGGAAGAAAAAGCACCUACUGUUCGUUAAUUGAAAUUCUCUUUGCUUAGCGCCCUUGUGUUUCGAAUAGAAAAGCACUAGAGAUAUCUGUGGAACUGUUGUUUUUCUUAGGGCAAGCUAGCAGAUAGAAGUAAUCUAUCUGGUUAGCCAGGCGAAGCAUUUAGGGUUCAGUGCCUAGUUUCAAGUGUUCUUCUUCAUCGUUUGGCACUUCACUUUUUGUUGAGUAAUCCAAUGGCCUAAUGACACAUGCACAUCUUUUGGUGCUGUCGCCUUACUUAGUGACUAGCUCAAGUGCAUUUGAUCGCAAAAAAGACUGGCAUUGGCUCCGGGUCAAAUCUACAGGGGGCAUGCAAAUCAAAUGCGAAAGAAAGGAAAACAUUUCUGUUUCUUCUGCUUCAAUGCCGUGAUACACUCAGGAUGUUUACGAUACCUACCCAUUAAUUGCUCUAACUUCUCGUGGUUCGCCCCUAGCUAUGCCCGCUUCUAUGAAAUUCCAAAUUCUGCUUGCAAGCUCAUCGGAGCUAGGCAACUCUUUGUUAGUGAUUUCAUGCCUACCAAGCAGGUACACUCUAAUGUAUACACCCUUUAAGAAAAGAAAUCCUUCUCGUAUUCUGCUGCUUUUUUGAUUCAUUUUAUCCCAAUAAUAGCAUAGACAUCAUAUAUUUUUUCUUGCAAGCUCAAGUGCUUGAUUGUUGACAAAUUCUUCUCUCAGCAGGGCACCUCAGGUACCUGUCUAUAGUUUCCUGUCUUGAAGGGGGGCUACGCAGCUAUUUUCUUUAACAACACGUCAUUCAACGAAGUGUUUUCGUUAUUUGGUCAUCACUAAAAAGUUUCUAGUGAUAAACUGAGCCUAUAAGUUUAGAGGAUUCUCCUAACGUGAUGAGUUUAGUUUCUCACUUUUAAAGAUCACUGGUGGCAAUGGUACUUCCUUUUAUGCAACAACUCCUGUAUGUACCAUUUGGUAAUUGGAGUUUGAUAAGACCAUGGAUCCUUAUAUACAAAACAUACUUGGCCAACUAAGGCCCUGCAGUCCAAUGUCCGAUAUAUUAUCAUCAGCUGAGGAGGUGUUUGGCAAGGGUGUGACCGUUGUUUUUGGGACAAUGUUCAAGCAGGAGGCCAUGAAUCUGUCUAGUCUCGCCAUGGGGGGUGAGUUUAUCUCAUUGCUCCUUCCUGGUGUAAAGCCGAUCACUGAGGUUUAUGUCUAUCAAACCGAGCUCUUGAACCCAAUGUUUGGAACAUCAACGUCCCUCUCCAGUCGUAAUCAGGAUUUGAUCUAUCAUGAAGUUUUAGCGCCACAUAAGAUCCACGGCAUGUUAUCUGUCGGUGCAGCGGCUUUGAGUUGUCGGAAAAAAAGCCAGCAGCUUAAGUAAUUCCUCAGUUUAGUAUAGGGUGUCCAGGGAGAGCUGCUGAAGGGAAGGUGGGCGAACCCACACGAGUGAAAACCCUACUUUAUUAGUCAUCAAUGCGAUUUCUCGCACUUUUUGAUACCUCCGAGGGGGUACACUUUAAAGGCAUGCAAAAUGUGCCUUACAGUCAUGUUGUACGAGGCUAGGCGGUGAAUGCAACGCUGGGAAGUUUUGUCCCGGUUCGAGAGGUUGAGCGAGCCAACCAAUUCGAUGUUUUGAAUGACCAAAGAAUAGGUGUUUACUCCUCUUACUAAUUGAGGUUUCGCACAACUUUUUGACUAGGGCUUCAGAAAGGUUGUAGUUUCACGAGGAGCCCAUAAAGCGACUUGUUUUACCUAUGGGAUGUGAAGUUUGGCUCUGUACCUGACACGGAUUGAUUUAAGAACAGUGAUGAAAGAAAUCAAUUUAUGAGAGACCACAUUUCUGUUGUUUCGGUACAACUCAAGAUCAGUUAAGGAAAUAGGGAAUAACAAUAGUGAAAAGAAUAGAAAUAGCAUGACCCUUGCUUGGGACUUCUUUCUUCUAUCUCUAUAGAGAUGGCCAGGAAGCAAAUGAGAAAGGGACUUCUUUUUUACUACGGUCAAACUAUGAUCAAACUCUCUAAUCUUACUUUCGUGUGAAAGACCGUCCUAGGCGUGAGUACAAAUGUGUCGAGGCGUUCUAAGUGCCGUAGAAGAAUGCUUCUUGGCGGAAUAAAUGGUAUGACACGACCACUUUUUGCUCCAUAUAAACUAAUUAGAAAAAGGAAGAAGGCUUUAGCUCCCUUCCAUUGUCUUGGGUCGAAGAUCAAGCGUGAACUUCUCCCUCAUCUAAGGUUGGGUUGUGGAUAACAGACUUCCCCUUGGGCCGGAUCUUCCCAAGUAUAACACGAUCCAUGAGCGAUAUCAAUGCGGUGACAGUCCUUACUAUUGAGUCCUGUGCUGGUAAGAUGACAACGCUCUAAAAGGUUUGUUUAAGAAAGCAAUCAUAUCCCGUCCCCAAGUGCGGUAUGGACCCCAAAGAGUUAUAUAAGUAGGAAAAUGGGAAGAAUUGAGGCACCUACAGAAGUAAUGGGUCAGCUUAUGAUUUUAGGCAUGGUUACUGGAUGGAUCAUCACUACCUAUCUGCGCAAGAUCGGAUCAGUAUGGUUUUGAGAGGAAGGCUGGUGGCAUACGAAGAGAGGGCGACAGAACAUCUGCAUUCCCUUUCUUUGAUUGUGAGAAGGAUAAAGCAGAAAAAAAGACUUGACUGAAAUUCCAUUCGCUUUUUUUCCUUCCUGAGAUAUGGAAUGUCAUUAAAUUAAGUAGAUGAGAUGCCAAAUAUAGGCAGGAGUUAUUUCGCCAAGCAAAGCUUUGUGUUCUGAAGGUAAAGAAAGAUGGUAAAGCCCAUUAAAAAGAGUGCCACGCAGAAGCACCUCCUGUGUCACUCGAUCCAAACCCGACACAUCUUUCUUUCUAUACGAAAUGAGUUCGACCUUUUUUUCAAAAUAGAAACACAAAAGCAAUUUAGGAAUAGUGCGGGUGCGACGGAACAAAUCAAGUGAAACGAGUCCCCCUUAUGACAUUUUUUCAUCCAAGCAAGGGCGCGUUGCAUGGGAUUCAUCAACAAAGGGAUAGGGAUAAGGGGCCGCACGUCCAAGACAGCCUUUCAUCUCAGUGCGCCAUGGAACCCCCAUCUUCCAAUUCCUCUUACAAAGAUCGUUGACUCACUUGCCUUAUUUUGAGGAGACUUCCAAGCCAAAACAAGACAAUGGGCAGUCACCAGAUCUUCUUUAUGGAGGUGGGACCGGGGACCUCCUCAGCAAGAUCACUGUACAGAAUGCUUGCGCAUAGUGUCCACACACACUUCUCCCUGACCUCCAAAAGCUCCCUAUGACCCUUUGUACGGAGCAUUCAAAGUUCCUCACGCUGUCAAGCAAGACUUUGAUCUCGAUUUGGGAGAGCAAACACAGCUUCGCCAUCCAUCCAAGUAUCUUUAUUGAAUUGUGACCCUAUCUAGCGCUUAAAAAUCUUUCUUCUUUCUCCGUCACUAGAUUCCGGUUAAAACGCUUGGUCCACCCAUGCUUUUCCUCUCCAUUUUUCAUAUGGGAAGGGAAAGCAGUGCCAACUUAUUGGAAUUCUGCAUGGCAUAUUUCCCAACCUUCAUUCCUGCUAUUCCAGGCUCUAGUGCUCAGUCAUAAACCUAUUGCCCGCUCCGCUUUCCCAUUCCUAUUGCUUUCGGUAUCUGAAUCUUCCUGAAUUCAAGUAGAGAAUACCAGGGCUUUCUUCUUCUUUGAUUUUCCUUGGGGAUAAAAAAAGGAUUUCCGACAUAGCACCUGCGGCAUGAGGAUUCUAAGAUUUAGGAGGGGAAGGCUGAGGAGAGGGAUCACAUGCAUUGAAGCAAUCUCAAGAUUCAGAAAUGAUCAAAAUAAUGGUAUGGGGAGAAGAAAGAGAGGAGAGUCACGAAAAUAGGGUAAACGUAAAGAGACGAUGAAAAGCAAUCAGAGAGGAGAGGGAAGAAUGACAAUGGAAAUCAUAAAGCUCAGCGAGGAGCACAUUACUAUGAAUAAUAAUGGAGAGGGACAUUAAAGGGGAAAACUGAGCAAAGAGAUAUAAAAAUAUAUUCGAAAAGCUUUUCACUUCUACUUCGUUUUCUUGUUUAGAUUCAUUACUUCAGUGAUUGAACAUGGGCAGAUACCUAUAAGGACCCCAUUUCAUUGACCUUCGCCCUUUUAUAUCCCUCGUUAAGAUAUGUUAUCCGGACCAACUCCCACGUAGAAAACCAAGAGCAGUGAGUUACAAAACCAAGAGCAGUUAGAAUCGCGUAGCUGUGUGCCCCCUUUUCUGACUAGCUUCUUGUGAAAAGCAUUUCAGGCACGAGCACACCUGAUGAACUCAGAAACCUACUAUGGAAUCAAUCAACCCAUCGCACCCGAGUGCUCUGCUCUCCAAGCUCUAUGCAGGUGUUUUUACAUUAAAAUCCCCGAACGAUUUUAUGCUAUCAAAGUAGGUGGAUUGGUCUGUGGUGCUCACUAAACCUGCUAUUGGACGGGAUCAGACAUAGGUCUUAGAUGAUCUCGAUCUUGAAGAAAGCAUAACUAAUGUCAUUUUAAGAGAAAGAUGGCACUAUGGAUUGAAGGUAGCUUUUUCUCCAUAUGGGAAAUCAAAACUUCAUUUGAUUGAGUGCUAUAGGUUAAGUUGGUUGGUUAGUGUAUCACGACCGGGGACACCUGGGACUGACUCAUUCCUGUCUUCUUCAAAACCGA